rnacentral:misc_RNA from 1 species
UGUUCUCUAUGACUGGUUCUCUAACCAUAAUCUCAUUUGGCCUUCUCUCUCUUGCCGGUGGGGUCCGCAGCUUGAGCAAGCUACUUACAAGAAUCGCCAACGUCUCUACCUUUCCGAGCAGACUGAUGGUAGUGUUCCAAAUACUUUGGUUAUUGCAAAUUGUGAAGUUGUCAAGCCUAGAGUUGCUGCUGCAGAGCACAUAUCUCAGUUUAAUGAAGAAGCACGCUCUCCAUUUGUUAAGAAGUACAAGACCAUCAUACAUCCUGGAGAGGUGAACAGGAUCAGGGAACUUCCACAGAAUAGUAGAAUAGUGGCCACUCAUACUGACAACCCUAAUGUUCUCAUAUGGGAUGUUGAAGCACAG